GGGGCGUUAGCUCAAUCUGGCAGAGCACCGGACUCUUAAUCCGGGGGUUGCAGGUUCAACUCCUGCACGCCCCACCA
rnacentral:tRNA from 1 species